CCUACGGGUGGCAGCAGUGGGGAAUAUUGCACAAUGGGGGAAACCCUGAUGCAGCGACGCCGCGUGAGUGAAGAAGUCAUUCGUUAUGUAAAGCUCUAUCAGUAGGGAAGAAAAUGACGGUACCUGAGUAAGCAGCCCCGGCCAACUACGUUCCAGCCGCCGCGGUAAUACGUAGGGGGCAAGCGUUAUCCGGAUUUACUGGGGGUAAAGGGAGCGUAGACGGCAGUGCAAGUCUGGAGUGAAAGGCGGGGGCUCAACCCCUGGACUGCUCUGGAAACUGUACGGCUGGAGUGCAGGAGAGGUAGGUGGAAUUCCUAGUGUAGCGGUGAAAUGCGUAGAUAUUAGGAGGAACACCAGUGGCGAAGGCGGCUAACUGGGCUGUAACUGACGUUGAGGCUCGAAAGCGUGGGGAGCAAACAGGAUUAGAUACCCGGGUAGUC
rnacentral:rRNA from 1 species